GUUUGGUUAAGUUAGAAAGGGCGCACGGUGGAUGCCUUGACACUAGGAGUCGAUAAAGGACGGGACUAACGCCGA
rnacentral:rRNA from 1 species